rnacentral:rRNA from 1 species
UGAAUACGAGGCACUAAGGUGCUGAAGUAGUGUAUGUCAUACUUCCAAGAAAAGCUUGCACUAUCGUAAGAUAAAAAUGCCUGUACCAUAACCGACACAGGUGGGUAGGUAGAGUAUACUAAGGGGCGCGAGAUAACUCUCUCUAAGGAACUCGGCAAAAUAACUCCGUAACUUCGGGAGAAGGAGUGCCUUAUUCUAUAAGGUUGCAAUAACAAGAUCCAAGCAACUGUUUAUCAAAAACACAGGUCUCCGCUAAGUCGUAAGACGAUGUAUGGGGGCUGACGCCUGCCCAGUGCCAGAAGGUUAAAGAAGUCGGUUAGCAAUUGCGAAGCUGGUAACUGAAGCCCUGGUGAACGGCGGCCGUAACGAUAACGGUCCUAAGGUAGCGAAAUUCCUUGUCGGGUAAGUUCCGACCCGCACGAAAGGCGUAAUGAUUUGGAUACUGUCUCGGAGAGGGACUCGGCGAAAUAGACUUGUCUGUGAAGAUGCGGACUACCUGCACCAGGACAGAAAGACCCUAUGAAGCUUUACUGUAACUUGAAAUUGAAAUUGGACUUUAUUCGCGCAGUAUAGGUGGGAGGCGUUGAUUAUAAUCUUGUGGGAUUAUUGGAGCCAUUAGUGAGAUACCACUCUUGUAAUGUUAGAUUUCUAACUUUGAAUCAUGAUCUGGUCAAAGAACAGUUUCAGGCGGGCAGUUUGACUGGGGCGGUCGCCUCCUAAAUGGUAACGGAGGCGUACAAAGGUUUCCUCUGAACGGGUAGAAAUCGUAUCUAGAGUGUAAAGGCAUAAGGAAGCUUGACUGUGAGACCUACAAGUCGAGCAGGGACGAAAGUCGGUCUUAGUGAUCUGACGGUACUGAGUGGAAAGGCCGUCACUCAACGGAUAAAAGUUACUCUAAGGAUAACAGGCUGAUCUCCCCCAAGAGUUCACAUCGACGGGGAGGUUUGGCACCUCGAUGUCGGCUCAUCGCAUCCUGGGGCGGUAGUACGUCCCAAGGGUUGGGCUGUUCGCCCAUGAAAGCGGUACGCGAGCUGGGUUCAGAACGUCGUGAGACAGUUCGGUCCAUAUCCGGUGUAGGCGUUAGAAUAUUGAGAGGAGCCUUCUUUAGUACGAGAGGACCGAGAAGGACAUACCUCUGGUGUACCAGUUAUCGUGCCAACGGUAAACGCUGGGUAGCUAUGUAUGGAGUGGAUAACCGCUGAAAGCAUCUAAGUGGGAAGCCCACCUCAAGAUAAGUAUUCUCAC